rnacentral:rRNA from 1 species
GAUGAACGCUGACAGAAGGCUUAACACAUGCAAGUCAACUGUGGCGGACGGGUGAGUAACGCGUACACAACUUGCCUCACAGCUAGGGACAACCUUUGGAAACGAAUGCUAAUCCCUGAUACUGUGAGAGAGCUUUGCGUCGCAUUAGCUAGUUGGCGAGGUAACGGCUCACCAAGGCGAUGAUGGGUAGCCGGCCUGAGAGGGAGAUCGGCCACAAGGGGACUGGGACACGGCGCUUACAGCGACGGGAGGCAGCAGUGGGGAAUAUUGGACAAUGGACCAAAGUCUGAUACAGCAAUUCUGCGUGCAGGAUGAAGUUUUCGGAAGGUAGAGUGCUUUCAGUUGGGAAGCGGUACCAACAGAAGAAGUGACGGCUAAAUCCGUGCCAGCAGCCGCGGUAAUUC